rfam:Triticum aestivum genome assembly, contig: Triticum_aestivum_CS42_TGACv1_scaffold_342469_4DL
UAUAUACUCCCUCCGUCCGAAAAUACUUCUCGGAAGAAUGGAUGUAUCUAAACGUAUUUUAAUUCUAGAUACAUCCAUUUUUAUGCAUUUCUGCGACAAGUAUUUCCGGAUGGAGGGAGUAGUAA